CAAUGGACGAAGCUGAUGGAGCACGCCGCGUGCAGGAUGAAUGCCUUCGGGUUGUAAACUGCUUUUAUAUGUGACGAUUAUGACGGUAGCAUAUGAAUAAGGAUCGGCUAACUCCGUGCCAGCAGCCGCGGUAAUA
rnacentral:rRNA from 1 species